UACGUAGGGUGCAAGCGUUGUCCGGAAUUAUUGGGCGUAAAGAGCUCGUAGGCGGUCUGUUGCGUCGGCUGUGAAAACCCGAGGCUCAACCUCGGGCCUGCAGCCGAUACGGGCAGACUAGAGUUCGGCAGGGGGAGACUGGAAUUCCUGGUGUAGCGGUGAAAUGCGCAGAUAUCAGGAGGAACACCGGUGGCGAAGGCGGGUCUCUGGACAGUUUCUGACACUGGAGGCGCGACAGCCGUGGGGAGCAAACAGG
rnacentral:rRNA from 1 species